rnacentral:rRNA from 1 species
UACGGGGGGGCAAGCGUUGUUCGGAAUUACUGGGCGUAAAGGGCUCGUAGGUGGCCAACUAAGUCAGACGUGAAAUCCCUCGGCUUAACCGGGGAACUGCGUCUGAUACUGGAUGGCUUGAGUUUGGGAGAGGGAUGCGGAAUUCCAGGUGUAGCGGUGAAAUGCGUAGAUAUCUGGAGGAACACCGGUGGCGAAGGCGGCAUCCUGGACCAACACUGACACUGAGGAGCGAAAGCCAGGGAGCAAACGGG